rnacentral:rRNA from 1 species
UGCCAGCAGCCGCGGUAACACGGGGGGCGCAAGCGUUAUUCGGAAUUAUUGGGCGUAAAGGGCGCGCAGGCGGUUUGAUAAGUUGGGAGUGAAAUCCCGGGGCUUAACCUCGGAAUUGCUCUCAAAACUGUUGAACUAGAGUAUGGUAGGGGAAAGUGGAAUUCUUAGUGUAGGGGUGAAAUCCGUAGAUAUUAAGAGGAACACCAGAGGCGAAGGCGACUUUCUGGACCAUUACUGACGCUAAGGUACGAAAGCGUGGGGAGCGAACGGGAUUAGAUA